UCUGGCCACUGCAAUCCAGCCUGGGCGACAGAGCGAGACUCCGUCUCAAAAAAAAAAAAAAGUACUGAAUUAUAGCUUAUCCUGUAAGCAGCAACCACGUGGCUUAGUGUACUUGCAGACUACUCAGAGAAAACGAGGUUAGAAGCAGCUCUCCUCCCUUGCAGACUACUCAGAGAAAACGAGGUUAGAGGCAGCUCUCCUCCCAGAGCUCGCAGGGUCGCCGCUGAGGCCGCGGUUCCAGCACAGCGGAGGUGAAGUUACUUUGGCAGUUGCUGACACCACCAAGCCUUAGAUAAAUAAAAGGCAUCAGCUUGUAACCUGGCCAAUCACUGAAUCUUUACAAGCACAAAUAUUUAUUAGAAGGGCCAUGAAAAUGGAUUUGAAGAUGAUUAAUAAACAGAAUAAUCUCUCAUUAUUUCAUGUGAAGUGAAAACUGGAACCUCUUAAGAAUAUGCUUGUUACUUUCCAACAAGAACAUUGGCAAUUUCCAGGACAGAAAUUUGGAGUCAUGUAUAUGUGUUAUUAAAUAUUCUGUUGGAGAUGAAAGUGGCUGUUGAUAAAGCGUGGAUAGUAUCUGGAUUUGGGGAAGUUAACAAGAUAGUGUAGUGAGGACUAGAAGCCAUGGGCCCAUCUGAAGCCACAAACGAAAGCUGUGAGUGUGCUUUAUGGUCUACCACUAACAGCAAAGGAAACACAAACUAUAUAACCUGGUCUGCGUGGCAAAAAUAAAAGUGGCAUUGAAGCUCCUACUUACAUACAUUAAAAGUAAUUUUUUUUAUGCUAAGGAUUCUGUUGUGCAUAAGAUAAAAUUCAAACUUCUGAACUUGGCCUACAGACCCCCUAUGAUUUUUAGCCUCUUCCUUGCAGUUUCUCCUGCCACUCUUUGAACCAGGUCAUCCUGGACCUGAGACUGUACAUGCGCCCUCUCCCCCGGGAGACUUCUCACUCAUCAUUACCUGACCGACUUAUCAGGAAGAGAUGCCUUUUCUACCCACCUUGCCUACCACCAGUCACUGACCUAGGUUCCCUUUCUAUGAAUGCCAGUAGCGCCCCAUAUUUACCUCAUGGUAAAUUUACAUUAUGGGUUUAUCACUCUAGUUUGAUUUUCAUGCAUUUGUCUACCCCAAGUAAACUGUAAACUCCUUGAAGAUAGAAACCGGAGUCUUAUUUGCUGUUAUAUAGUUCCUGCUAUAGUGCUUAUGCACAUAACAAACUCUAUAAAUAUUUGUUGAGUGAAUAAAGGAACGUUUUAAGGAA